AAUAUAAUUUUGCAGCAAAAUUGAUUUCAGCCUUUUUCCAAUUUUAUUUCUCCAACUCGGCGAUUCGAUUCCCCCAUUUUUCACUAUCAGCGAUGCUUCCGCCAUGACGCCGUCGAUUUAAGCUCCGGUGAUCUCUCUACUUUCAGACUCUGCCGGGUUCUGUACGUUCCGUUCCCGGUGUCUUUGGUUGCUUGAGGGGGUGGAAGCCUUCUCAGAAAUAAAUUUUGAGUGCCGCAGAUGAGGUAUAACUGAUGUUAUUGGCAGUAGAAGGAGGAGGGUUCUUUUCUUCUUCAGCAUCUGGGUAUAGCAAGGGUCUGACCCUUCUUCUUUUGGGUCAAAAGGACGAAGAUAAACCCAUGAGAGUUUCUCCGUGGAAUCAUUACCAGUUGGUGGACCAAGAAUCAGAAUCUGACCUCCAGCUGGCUUCCACAAAGAAUCGCAUUUCCCGCGGCUGUGCCUCCUUUGUUUGCUUUGGUCGCACUUCCGCAGGGCUUGACAGUUCACCUUCUCCGCUUAAAGUAGGCCCAACCUUACCACAUGAUUCUUUGCCUGGGCCUUUAAGUACUAAUACAGGGAAAGAUGAAGUUCCUAUUGUGAAUGAUGGUAAUAGUUUGAGAAAUAUAGCCCUUAAAAGUAGCUUGAAAAAGCCCAAUAAUGGUAUUUCAAUUUCUCAUCAGAAUGCUCAUGAAAGUGAAACAAUGAGUAAAAAGGAUGGUGAUAUACGUUGUCCUACUGAUAGAAGAAAAGUUCAGUGGAAUGAUGCUUGUGGGAGUGAACUGGUAGAGAUCAGGGAAUUUGAGCCCAGAACAGGCUUGAUCAAUUCUGUUACCCUGUGAUAUUUCUCUCGUUUGAUUGCCAUUGCCCGGAGAAUUAUUGCAGAUAAAAACCCUCGAAAAGUUGUGUGAAGCCGGUCUUUCCGAUGACGAGCUCGAAAAUGGAAACAAGAGGAGUUGUUCUUGUGCAAUCAUGUAGCUCUAGGCUGCUUCAAGAAUAGGGGUAAAUUUCUAAACAAGAAAACGCUUGCCCGUCUCCUUUGCCCAAACAUUCUUUGUGGAUACUCACAAUCCUGAUAAAACACGAUCACGUCGACAACGACUGCAUUCAAUGGUCAGAUUUCCCACUCGAUCAUCGCGCUGUUUAUAGUGAAUUGUUCUGUUUUCGGUUUUCAGUUUUGUUCCUACGCGUGGUCUGUUUAUUUUUUACUGGCAUUUGUAAGACUUCCUCCAUUGUACACUAUCUUCACUUUCAGUAUAUUCCCUUUUUUUUCUUAUUAUUAUUAUUUUGGUCAUUUGCUAUAUAAUGAAUAUUCAUUUGUUGUCCCAAAGUCGCAAAUGUUAGUCUGAUGGAAUUA